AUUGAACGCUGGCGGCAGGCUUAACACAUGCAAGUCGAACGAUGAUUAUCUAGCUUGCUAGAUAUGAUUAGUGGCGGACGGGUGAGUAACAUUUAGGAAUCUGCCUAGUAGUGGGGGAUAGCUCGGGGAAACUCGAAUUAAUACCGCAUACGACCUACGGGUGAAAGGGGGCGCAAGCUCUUGCUAUUAGAUGAGCCUAAAUCAGAUUAGCUAGUUGGUGGGGUAAAGGCCCACCAAGGCGACGAUCUGUAACUGGUCUGAGAGGAUGAUCAGUCACACCGGAACUGAGACACGGUCCGGACUCCUACGGGAGGCAGCAGUGGGGAAUAUUGGACAAUGGGGGCAACCCUGAUCCAGCCAUGCCGCGUGUGUGAAGAAGGCCUUUUGGUUGUAAAGCACUUUAAGCAGGGAGGAGAGGCUAAUGGUUAAUACCCAUUAGAUUAGACGUUACCUGCAGAAUAAGCACCGGCUAACCCUGUGCCAGCAGCCGCGGUAAUACAGAGGGUGCGAGCGUUAAUCGGAAUUACUGGGCGUAAAGCGAGUGUAGGUGGCUCAUUAAGUCACAUGUGAAAUCCCCGGGCUUAACCUGGGAACUGCAUGUGAUACCGGUGGUGCUAGAAUAUGUGAGAGGGAAGUAGAAUUCCAGGUGUAGCGGUGAAAUGCGUAGAGAUCUGGAGGAAUACCGAUGGCGAAGGCAGCUUCCUGGCAUAAUAUUGACACUGAGAUUCGAAAGCGUGGGUAGCAAACAGGAUUAGAUACCCUGGUAGUCCACGCCGUAAACGAUGUCUACUAGCCGUUGGGGUCCUUGAGACUUUAGUGGCGCAGUUAACGCGAUAAGUAGACCGCCUGGGGAGUACGGCCGCAAGGUUAAAACUCAAAUGAAUUGACGGGGGCCCGCACAAGCGGUGGAGCAUGUGGUUUAAUUCGAUGCAACGCGAAGAACCUUACCUGGUCUUGACAUAGUGAGAAUCCUGCAGAGAUGCGGGAGUGCCUUCGGGAAUUCACAUACAGGUGCUGCAUGGCUGUCGUCAGCUCGUGUCGUGAGAUGUUGGGUUAAGUCCCGCAACGAGCGCAACCCUUUUCCUUAUUUGCCAGCGGGUUAAGCCGGGAACUUUAAGGAUACUGCCAGUGACAAACUGGAGGAAGGCGGGGACGACGUCAAGUCAUCAUGGCCCUUACGACCAGGGCUACACACGUGCUACAAUGGUAGGUACAGAGGGUUGCUACACAGCGAUGUGAUGCUAAUCUCAAAAAGCCUAUCGUAGUCCGGAUUGGAGUCUGCAACUCGACUCCAUGAAGUCGGAAUCGCUAGUAAUCGCAGAUCAGAAUGCUGCGGUGAAUACGUUCCCGGGCCU
rnacentral:rRNA from 1 species